UUUUUAAGAUUUAAAAAAGUGUCUACAGGACCUUAUGGCUGACCACAUAUGGAAGGCAAAGGAUGAGGUAGGUAUUUUUGCUGAGUCUUGAAAUGGAUGAUUUUUCUACUUUCCUAAAGUGGGGAAAAGUGUUUUAGGAGUAACUGCAUUGAGAGUUCCCAAGACCACUGCAGGUUUGGUGAUUUGCUAAAAGGACUCAUGGGAUGAGGCAUAUUGUCAUAUUCGUGGCUAUGAUUUAUUACAGUAAAGGGACAUAAAGCAAAAUUAGCACAAGAAAAAGGCACAUGGGCAAAGUCUGGAGGAAACCAGGCAUAAGCCACUGAGAGUCCUCUCUCAGGUUUACCUGAGCCUAGUAGUCCAGGGUUUUUAUCAAGGAUUGGUCCCAUAAACACCCUCUAUCUAGCAUGUACCAAAUUCCAGACUCUUAGAAGGAAAGUAGGCAUUCAAUAUAAACUGCAUGUUUGUACAAACAGUUUAGUUACACUUAUCAGCUAGGGAAUAGUGGGAACCCUUCCCAAAUUCCUGUUCCCAAAUGUCAGCAAGUGGCUAGCCUUGCAAGCAGGCCCUGCUAAAGACAGCAGCCUCAGUCCUGCUGAGUUAACUGAUUUCUGCACAGUAAUAUUUUAAACCAGAAAGAGUAAAUUACUUUUAUAUCAUUCUCUUUUCAUUAUCAGAGUUUAUACAUAAUAGAAACAGAUUUUAACCCUAGUCAUUGUCGUCAGCUGGCCACAUAUAUUAUAAGGAUACUUUCGACAAGUAUUAGGAAAAGAAAACAAUUCUGAAAACAAUGAAAUACUGCCAUACCUUUAAAGUCAAAGCAUGGAGCAGUAAUUUAGGCUACAUCUGCUUAUGUACUAAGAAUAGCUUUAUGAUACUUUUGGUAAAUAGAUCAGAGAGUUGUGGCUGCUUUACAAUAAAUUAAAUGUCUGUGUCUUUAUAUUUCUAUUAGGUUGUUUUUUUAGUAUUAAUUUCUAGGAGAGUUCCUUAUAUAGUAAGAAUAUUAACCCUUUUUUCAUAUAUAAUCUAUUAUUACCCUCUCUCCCUACACCUGCCAGAAUGUUAAGUCAAAGAAUUUUUGCUCUUUAUUGUCUCUAGAAGGAUUCUAUAAUUUAUCAUGAGAUUGAGUUUUUGCUUGGUUGCUGAAAAAUUGCCAUGGACUUAAAUGUGAACAUGUUGAAAAUCAAAUGGGCUGUGUUAAUUUAAUUCCCAAUCCUUAACCCACUGAGCAAGGCCAGGGAUCAAACCCACAUCCUCAUGGAUACUAGUGAGGUUCUUAACCCACUGAGCCACAGCGGGAACUCCCCAGGUAGUUUUUUAUGGUCUCUAAAAUAGCGCUGAGCACUGAACUCCCUUCAAUAGAAAUGACAAACUAGGAAAUUUACUCCAUCCAAAAAAUCAAGUACAGUAAACAAAGUUGGCCUGUCAUGUCUGUUUGUUGUAUUUUCUAACAUGCUUUUUCUUCUAUUACCUGUCAAUUGUAAAAUUGUGUUUCCUAACCAUAAGGAGCGCAAAACUAUGGUAUAGGAACAUUCACACGGGUUUUGGUAUUUUUCUGUUUCUUCCCUGUCAGCGUUCUCCCCAUUGCCUGUGUACUCAGGAACACAGUGGUAUUCUCUAUCUUUCUCUUCGGCCCUGCCUUUCAGGUUCUUACAGCCAUAGUGGUUUGUCCAUGUGCAUCUUUGCCUCCUGGGAGGCUGCUGCUGUUUGAUGUUUGUGCUGCAUAUACUUCUCCUGACAGCAUAGGAUCUCUGCACUGUGCUGGUGUGCAGAAUUCCUCAUGUGCCAGGUGUGUAUGUUGCUUUCUCUGGAGCCCUGUAGAAGCAGGCUGUGUUCCCUUAGUAAAUCCAGCUCUUCCUACCACCCAAAA
rnacentral:lncRNA from 1 species